CAACUACGGAGACUCCUCCAGCAGAGCCUCGGCAGGAGCGACUGAGUGGGCCCAGCGGAGCCUGCCACACUUCCGGGACGUGGGGCGCCUAUCCCGUAAUAUUUCCCCUCAGCUCUUCCAACAGCAUUUGUCUUGCCACUUGGGAUUCAGGACGAACCGCCUGUCCCAGGGGCUUGUGCGCUUCUCGAGGAGGCAGCAUUCGCCUCCGCGGUCCCCUGGAGGGGCGUUGGAGGAGGGGGCGACGGAUAUAGGGACUCGCGGUCCGCUGUGGGAAUGAUCCACGAACUGCUCUUGGCCCUGAGCGGGUACCCAGGGUCCAUUUUCACAUGGAACAAGCGGAGUGGCCUCCAGGUGUCACAGGACUUCCCAUUUCUCCAUCCCAGUGAAACCAGCGUCCUGAAUCGACUCUGCCGGCUGGGCACAGACUAUAUUCGCUUCACCGAGUUCAUUGAACAGUACACGGGCCAUGUGCAGCAACAGGAUCACCAUCCAUCUCAGCAGGGCCAAGGUGGGUUACAUGGAAUCUACCUAAGGGCCUUCUGCACAGGGCUGGAUUCGGUUUUGCAACCUUAUCGCCAAGCACUGCUUGAUUUGGAACAAGAGUUCCUGGCUGACCCCCAUCUUUCCAUAUCACAUGUCAAUUACUCCUUGGAUCAGUUCCAGCUCCUUUUUCCCUCUGUAAUGGUUGUGGUAGAACAAAUUAAAAGUCAAAAGAUUCAUGGUUGUCAAAUCCUGGAAACGGUAUACAAACACAGCUGUGGAGGUUUGCCUCCUGUUCGCAGUGCACUAGAAAAGAUCCUGGCCGUGUGUCAUGGGGUCAUGUAUAAGCAGCUCUCAGCCUGGAUGCUACAUGGACUCCUCCUGGACCAGCACGAAGAGUUCUUUAUCAAACAGGGUCCCUCUUCCGGUAAUGUCAGUGCCCAGCCAGAAGAGGAUGAGGAGGAUCUGGGCAUCGGGGGACUGACAGGAAAACAGUUGAGAGAACUCCAGGACUUGCGCCUGAUAGAGGAAGAGAACAUGCUGGCACCGUCUCUAAAGCAGUUUUCCUUACGAGUGGAAAUUUUGCCAUCCUACAUUCCAGUGAGGGUUGCUGAAAAAAUUCUGUUUGUCGGAGAAUCUGUCCAGAUGUUUGAGAAUCAAAAUGUAAACCUGACUAGGAAAGGAUCCAUUUUGAAGAACCAGGAGGACACUUUUGCCGCAGAGCUACAUCGGCUCAAACAGCAGCCGCUCUUCAGCCUCGUGGAUUUCGAGCAGGUGGUGGAUCGUAUUCGCAGUACCGUGGCCGAGCAUCUCUGGAAGCUGAUGGUGGAAGAAUCAGAUUUACUGGGUCAGCUGAAGAUCAUUAAAGACUUUUACCUUCUGGGACGUGGAGAACUGUUUCAGGCCUUCAUUGACACAGCUCAACACAUGUUAAAAACACCACCCACUGCAGUAACUGAACAUGAUGUGAAUGUGGCCUUCCAGCAGUCCGCACACAAGGUCCUGCUGGACGAUGACAACCUUCUCCCUCUGUUGCACUUGACGAUUGAGUAUCACGGAAAGGAGCAUAAAGAUGCUGCUCAGGGAAGAGAAGGGCCUUCUCGGGAAACUUCUCCCCGGGAAGCCCCUGCAUCUGGUUGGGCAGCCCUAGGUCUCUCCUACAAAGUGCAGUGGCCACUGCACAUUCUCUUCACCCCUGCUGUUCUGGAAAAGUACAAUGUUGUUUUCAAGUACUUACUGAGCGUGCGCCGGGUGCAGGCCGAGCUGCAGCACUGCUGGGCCCUCCAGAUGCAGCGCAAGCACCUCAAGUCCAACCAGACCGACGCAGUCAAGUGGCGCCUAAGAAAUCACAUGGCAUUCUUGGUGGAUAAUCUUCAGUACUAUCUCCAGGUAGAUGUGCUGGAGUCUCAGUUCUCACAGCUGCUGCAUCAGAUCAAUUCUACCCGCGACUUUGAAAGCAUCCGAUUGGCUCACGACCACUUCCUUAGCAAUUUGCUGGCUCAGUCCUUUAUCUUGUUGAAACCUGUGUUUCACUGCCUGAACGAAAUUCUAGAUCUCUGUCACAGCUUUUGCUCGCUGGUCAGUCAGAACCUGGGCCCACUGGAUGAACGUGGGGCUGCCCAGCUGAGCAUCCUGGUGAAGGGCUUUAGCCGCCAGUCUUCACUGCUAUUCAAGAUUCUCUCCAGUGUUCGGAACCAUCAGAUCAACUCAGAUUUGGCUCAACUACUCUUACGACUAGAUUAUAACAAAUAUUACACCCAGGCUGGCGGAACUCUGGGCAGUUUCGGGAUGUGAAAAUACCUGGUUCACAAAUCAAUAGUCUCUCACCAUGUUCCCAAAUCUGACAGAAGAUUCAAAACAGCCCACUCUCCAGCCACUCAACAAAUGCCUGCAGCCUACUGAGGGCCCUACCUUUUCCUCCUAGAAGCUACUACUACUGAACAUUCGUGGGUACAAAUCCUUCCCCAUGUGGAACGGUCUGCCCCACCGUAGGGGAGCUCUUGCCUCACCCACCACGGAGGGCACGUGGUGACCCUGCAAGACCCACUACACGGAGGACAUCUAUUGGACACAACCAUUUGCUGAGCACCUACGAGGUGCCUAGGUACUGUUCAAGCUGCGAGAGACGGCAAACCUACUCAGAAGUCAAUGGAUGUUUCCAAUCAAGAUCUCGUGUCCUGUCUACCUCUACUGGACUCUGCUGGGAGAUGCAUAAAGGUGGAUGCAGUCAGCGGAGUACCACCUAGGGCUUGUGAGGGACCCCAUCUUUGUAGCCAGGACAGAGGGGCCAUCGCCACUUAUCAGGCUGCAGCUCCCCAGCAGGUGGCCCUGCAGUCCACAGUGGUCUGAGGGAGAAUGAGGCAAAAGGGAGCACUUACCAGGUUUCACAGUGGCAGACUUCCGGCCUCGCUUGGCAGGGGACCGUUCCUCUUCAGAAGUGAUCAGUUUUCUUUUGCCUGAGAGAACUCCCGAGGAGGCACGAGGGCUUUCUGUGGUCUUGCGGGUAGGGGUUGUGCUGCUGCUGCUGGAGGCAGUGGGGGUGGCCGGGGAGCUGAUGUUGCUGCGCCGUUUCCGCUUCCCUUCCACCAAAUUAUCUAGGAUAGGAUAAGCCAAAGGUUGGUCAACUCCCAUGGUCCGAGGCCCUGGUCUUCAAGAAGCUGGGCAGAGCCUGAGUUAGAGAUCACCACACCCUUUCCUCCACCUCCCACGGGGGCAGAAACCUCUUUCCAAGCCACCAUCAUUUCAUUUCGGUCUCAGUCAUGACCGAAAUAUGUCUGGCUCCCUGCAGAACUGGGGAGGCCAGAAGAAUCUGAGAACUUACUAUCUGGUCCCAGGAAGGAAACAGAGGUAGGCAGUGGCUCCAGAAAACGGCAGCUCAUCAGCAUCUCAAACACCACAGGAACAGUAAGAUUUAGGGAAGCAUGCUUACUGCUCUAGAAUUCACUCCUCCCACCACAAAGCAGGGGCCCAGAGGCAGUUUCUCAGGAAGCAAAGGUCUUACCCAAGCUGAUGUCUGCUGCCUUGGUGAGGGGUGUUACUGCUUCAUAUGGGCCAAGGCCAUACUGCUCCCUUAGUCUGUUUCCUUGCUCCAAGGACAAGAUGACAGCCAUUCGCUUGUACCACUUCCUUUGGCCUUCUUUUUCAAUGCUGUAGUACAGCUCUCCAGACUCCUUCCUAUGCCCUUUCACCACUCCUGGGUGGGAACAACAUAAGAGCAGCCUGCUGUUGUUUUAGGUUGCUCGGCAUCCAUUCACAAUGGCUCUGCACAGCGGGAUUGGGUCAGGGCAUUAGGAGGUCCCACAGUGGGCUGAAGUUAGUAAAGAAAUUCCAACUAUCAAUCCGAGACAACACCACCACUUAGGAAUGUAUGUAGCUACUACCCUGGGAUUGGGACAUGGAAAGUUUCUCAACAGAAGGAACCCUUUAGUUAUAAAAUAACUUCCUAAAGCCAGCCUUUAUGAGUUGUCAGUAGUUUCUUUUUUGAAGUGAAACGACAUGUGGUUUCUUAACAAUCCCAUUAUAAUUUACUAAACCUUUCGUUCUUGGUUUCUUUGGAGGCUGAUUGAUAAUUCUUAAGUUAAGUUGUAGGUGAAAGAUAACAUCACUCUGAGAGAGCAUGUAUCUGUGUGGCUAAAUCCAAAUAGAGAAAUAGAGCAAAGAAAGGAAAAAAUAAAUAAAUUCUGCCUCUCCUGCCUAAUUUUCCCUAUUAUCUACUUCUUGCUCUGAUUCAGAACCUAAAGAUAAGGCCUCUAGGUUAGAAGGAACACAGUGUGGAGUAUAAAAGGGAUCAGGGCUGGAAUUCAGGAAAUCUGAGCCUACAUCUCAUUCUGCCACCACCAAGCAGUGUGAUCUUGGGUAAGACCCAUUCUCAACCCUAUGAAAAAGAUCAUAUUCCUUCCCUCUGCCUAUCAAUAAACAAUUUACACACACGUGUGCAAU